rnacentral:rRNA from 1 species
UACGUAGGGGGCUAGCGUUGUCCGGAAUCAUUGGGCGUAAAGAGCGUGUAGGCGGCCCGGUAAGUCCGCUGUGAAAGUCGGGGGCUCAACCCUCGGAUGCCGGUGGAUACUGUCGGGCUCGAGUACGGAAGAGGCGAGUGGAAUUCCAGGUGUAGCGGUGAAAUGCGUAGAUAUCUGGAGGAACACCGGUGGCGAAGGCGGCAUCCUGGACCAUUACUGACGCUGAGGAGCGAAAGCCAGGGGAGCAAACGGG